rnacentral:rRNA from 1 species
CAUGCAAGUCGAACGGUAACAGGUCUUCGGAUGCUGACGAGUGGCGAACGGGUGAGUAAUGCAUCGGAACGUGCCCAGUCGUGGGGGAUAACGCAGCGAAAGCUGUGCUAAUACCGCAUACGAUCUAUGGAUGAAAGCGGGGGACCGUAAGGCCUCGCGCGAUUGGAGCGGCCGAUGUCAGAUUAGCUAGUUGGUGGGGUAAAGGCCCACCAAGGCGACGAUCUGUAGCUGGUCUGAGAGGACGACCAGCCACACUGGGACUGAGACACGGCCCAGACUCCUACGGGAGGCAGCAGUGGGGAAUUUUGGACAAUGGGCGCAAGCCUGAUCCAGCAAUGCCGCGUGCAGGAAGAAGGCCUUCGGGUUGUAAACUGCUUUUGUACGGAACGAAAAGGUUCGGGUUAAUACCCUGGGCUCAUGACGGUACCGUAAGAAUAAGCACCGGCUAACUACGUGCCAGCAGCCGCGGUAAUACGUAGGGUGCAAGCGUUAAUCGGAAUUACUGGGCGUAAAGCGUGCGCAGGCGGUUUUGUAAGACAGGCGUGAAAUCCCCGGGCUCAACCUGGGAAUGGCGCUUGUGACUGCAAAGCUGGAGUGCGGCAGAGGGGGAUGGAAUUCCGCGUGUAGCAGUGAAAUGCGUAGAUAUGCGGAGGAACACCAAUGGCGAAGGCAAUCCCCUGGGCCUGCACUGACGCUCAUGCACGAAAGCGUGGGGAGCAAACAGGAUUAGAUACCCUGGUAGUCCACGCCCUAAACGAUGUCAACUGGUUGUUGGUCCUUAGCUGGAUCA